rnacentral:rRNA from 1 species
GCUUGUCUCAAAGAUUAAGCCAUGCAUGUCUAAGUAUAAACAACUUUAUACUGUGAAACUGCGUACAGCUCAUUAUAUCAGUUAUAAUUUAUUUGAUGGUGAUUUACUACAUGGAUAACCGUGGUAAUUCUAGAGCUAAUACAUGCGCCCAGACCCAACUUUUAGGAAGGGUUGUAUUUAUUAGGUACAGAACCAAUGCAAGCUCCGCUUGACCUUUUGGUGAUUCAUGGUAACCGAACGAAUCGCACGGCACCAGCUGGCGAUGGACCAUUUCAGUUUCUGACCUAUCAGCUUCCGACGGUAGGAUAUGGGCCUACCGUGGCAAUGACGGGUAACGGAGAAUUAGGGUUCGAUUCCGGAGAGGGAGCCUGAGAAACGGCUACCACAUCUAAGGAAGGCAGCAGG